rnacentral:tRNA from 3 species
GCGCGAGUAGCUAAGUGGUAAAGCAGAAGCCUGCAAAGCUUCCAUGCGGGGGUUCGAUUCCCUCCUCGCGCU